AUUGAACGCUGGCGGCAGGCCUAACACAUGCAAGUCGAACGAGUUGCGGACGGGUGAGUAAUGUCUGGGGAACUGCCUGAUGGAGGGGGAUAACUACUGGAAACGGUGGCUAAUACCGCAUACCAUCAGAUGGGCCCAUAUGGGAUUAGCUUGUUGGUGGGGUAACGGCUCACUAAGGCGACGAUCCCUAGCUGGUCUGAGAGGAUGACCAGCCACACGGGAACGGAGACACGGGCCAGACGCCUACGGGAGGCAGCAGUGGGGAAUAUUGCACAAUGGGCGCAAGCCUGAUGCAGCCAUGCCGCGUGUAUGAAGAAGGCCUUCGGGUUUUAAAGCACUUUCAGCGGGGAGGCGUUACCCGCAGAAGAAGCACCGGCUAACUCCGUGCCAGCAGCCGCGGUAAUAC
rnacentral:rRNA from 1 species